rnacentral:rRNA from 1 species
CAGCAGCCGCGGGAACACGGAGGGAGCCAGCGUUGUUCGGAAUUACUGGGCGUAAAGCGCACGUAGGCGGUUAUUCAAGUCAGAGGUGAAAGCCCGGGGCUCAACCUCGGAACUGCCUUUGAUACUGUCGAUCUUGAGUAUGGGAGAGGUGUGUGGAACUCCGAGUGUAGAGGUGAAAUUCGUAGAUAUUCGGAAGAACACCAGUGGCGAAGGCGACACACUGGCCCAUUACUGACGCUGAGGCUCGAAAGCGUGGGGAGCAAACAGGAUUAGAUACCCGGGUAGUCCCUGUCUCUUAUAC